rnacentral:tRNA from 1 species
ACCGGGGUGGCGGAAAUGGUAGACGCGCCAGAUUUAGGAUCUGGUCUCCACUGGAGGUGAGGGUUCGAGUCCCUUCCCCGGUA